UAGGGAAUAUUGGACAAUGGGGGCAACCCUGAUCCAGCCAUGCCGCGUGAGUGAAGAAGGCCCUCGGGUUGUAAAGCUCUUUUGUCCGGAAAGAAAAGCUUCGGGUUAAUACCCCGGGGUUCUGACGGUACCGGAAGAAUAAGCACCGGCUAACUUCGUGCCAGCAGCCGCGGUAAUACGAAGGGUGCAAGCGUUACUCGGAAUUACUGGGCGUAAAGCGUGCGUAGGUGGUUGUUUAAGUCUGCUGUGAAAGCCCUGGGCUCAACCUGGGAAUGGCAUUGGAAACUGGGCAGCUAGAGGGCGGUAGAGGGUAGUGGAAUUCCCGGUGUAGCAGUGAAAUGCGUAGAGACCGGGAGGAACAUCUGUGGCGAAGGCGACUGCCUGGACCAGCACCGACACUGAGGCACGAAAGCGUGGGGAGCAAACA
rnacentral:rRNA from 1 species